UACGGAGGGUGCAAGCGUUAAUCGGAUUUACUGGGCGUAAAGCGUGCGUAGGCGGUAAUGUAUGUCGGAUGUGAAAUCCCCGGGCUUAACCUGGGAAUUGCAUCCGAAACUGCAUAACUAGAGUAUGGUAGAGGGAAGUGGAAUUCCGGGUGUAGCGGUGAAAUGCGUAGAUAUCCGGAGGAACACCGAUGGCGAAGGCAACUUCCUGGGCCAAUACUGACGCUGAGGCACGAAAGCGUGGGGAGCAAACAGG
rnacentral:rRNA from 1 species